rnacentral:ncRNA from 2 species
UCGGUUCGACAAGCGCCAGAACUGGAUCCGUCUUUGUCCUGGGUACGUUUUUUUUGCUGCGUUUCGGUCUUCGAGUCUGCUUCUACGGCACUAAGCCGGCGGGAGCGGCCUCCAACUUAUUCCCUAGACGGCGCAGGAUUAAUCGACUGCAGGAACUGACCAUCCAGUUGACGAGGUGAAGGUGUUCGAAAUAUUCGGCGGGGGCCUUCCGGGAUCGAUCCAUUCCGUACAAGUCGAAGAGCAAAACGUCCGGGCGACCGGGCCGACAAGAAUUCGACGGGAUCUGCAG